UAUUGAAAAUUACUUGUCUUUGAGGUUAUUCAUAUCAGGUUUAAAGAAACUAACACCUACCAUAUUAUUCUCAUUCAUAUCUUAUUGAUGUUCCUAUUGUCCAUAUUACUAAUACUUUCCUGUAUUAUAUUAAAAACAAAACAAACCCACAAAACAAAACAAAACAAAACACCAAACCUGGUCUGGUUUUAUGUUUUGAGGUUUUGUUCUGUCAAACCUGUUGUACAAAUCUGUUUUGGAAUUUAGCCAAUCUGUUUACCACAGAAAAAAACUUUUAAUAGAUUCUCAACACUGAGAAUACUUUCUCCAUUCUGAUUCAGUCAGUUCUUAAUGCUUGCCACAAAAUCAGUAUGUAGUCCUGAAGUCAUAUUGUUACCAUGUGCUGUAAUCAGAAUGCAACAUUCUGUGUACACUGAUUCAAUACCAAGAGGGAAUGUAGAACCCUCAAUCUCAGACCUCUGCAUUUCUUCACUGGGUCUGAUCUGGCAUGACUACUUACCAUUCUGUGUUUUAGUUUGCAAUUCUAUAAGACAGAAAUUAUACUUAUUAUGAAACUCAGGGAAAGAAAUUUGAGAAAGAUUAUGUUCAAACUUUUCAGUGAACAAUUUAAAACCACCUUUGCUCUUUUCUUGCCAGGUUAACAAGUAAAGAAAUAUGACUUUUCAUCUUUUCCCCAACAUCUACUGUUAAGUCAUUUUAAACAAUAUAUGUGAGUACUGUGAAUUGUCAGCUUUCAUGACUAUCUUCCAAAUUGUACUGCCAUCGCAAUAAAUCAAUAGUUUAGACAUCUUUGCAUAUCAAGUAAUUCCUGUGUGAGUGCUAAUUCAUUGCAACAAACUCAUUACCAUAUGGUUUUAAAAAUUAUU